AUUAUAAUAUUCCUCUUCGUAGGAAAAAUAAUUAAAAAAAAAAUAUUAUGCUUGGAAAAAUUUCCAUAAACCGGCAUCAUUCGAUUUCUCGGUAAAAAUAAACAUCACUUUCUUUGGAAACUUAAUCAAAAAUCCAAGUGCUAAGGUCUCAAAUAAAAAUCAUAGUAACUUGGUCAUAAUGACACACGUAACAAAAUCACAUAAUCAAUCAGUCA
rnacentral:lncRNA from 1 species